rnacentral:lncRNA from 1 species
GUUAUUUGGCUGCAAUGAGGUCUCAUGACUGUUUAUGUGGUGGCUCGCUGCUCAGGACAUGGAAUCAUUGGAGAUACUCAUUACUCUUUGAAGGCUUACAGUGGAAUGAAUUCAAAUACAACUUAUUUGAGGAAUUGAAGUUGACUUUAUGGAGCUGAUAAGAAUCUUCUUGGAAAAAAAAAGACUGGGUAUAUUUUCAAUAUGCUUUCCUUUUAAGGUCCCUCACCUGUGGAAAGUAAAGAAUGUCACUUUCUGACAGGCUCAGGAACCUCAAGUUAUGUAGGGAUCUCAAGAAGAUGGGGGAAUUCACCCAGUUCAUACAGGUGAAAUUGCUGUUGCGAAGAUUAUGAAUAUGAGAGAAGUCCAGCAUGGCUGACUUCAUCUCGUGUCUGGCCUCAGGCUGGCUGCCCUUGCUCACUCUUGGGCAUAGGCCAAGCUAGCCAUGGGAGGAAUUUAGUUUAUAGUUUAACUUUGAAGCACGGAUGACAAUAGUCUCUCCCUAAAAUGAACCCCUUCCUUGCUCAGGGACUGAAACUACCUUUGUAUGACAAAUGAAAGCCCACAAGAUUAAGAUUAUGAGAGGGGCCUGAAUUCUGCUAAAAUGCAGGUGUAGCUGACUGAUAACAAGUCAUUGUCCCACAGCUUGCCUUUCUAUAAUCUCUUGCUUCUCAGGAGUCACAUGGCCAGAGGUCCUGAGAUUUCCAGUCCUGUGACCCCCACCCAGAGAUGGACUUAAUGCAUGAGGACCAUUUUCCACACCCCUAUGAUUUCAUCCUCAAACAAUCAGCAGCAACCAUUCCCUAGCCCCCUGCCUGCCAAAUUAUCCAUAAAAAUCCUAGCCUCUGAGUUAUUAGGGAGAUUGAUUAAUAAUCCCAGUCCUACCCCUUGGGUUGCUCUGAUUUAAUUAAACCUUCUCUACUGCAAUACCACGGACUCAGUGAAUUGGUUUUGUCUGUGCAAUGGGCAAGAAGAACAUGUUGCAUGGUUAUACAGGUACUACAAGCACAGUCUGAUGGCAAAUUAUUGGUUUUGCUUCCUGCCCUUGAUGUUUCUAAACAUCUAGUCCAAAAUUACUUGUGAAAGGUCCAGCAAAGCCAAUUUUAAAAGAGGCUAUAUGGCCAAUCACUAUUCUUUCUACACAUUAUUGCAAAUAAUCAGGCCACGGCUGGGCACGGUGGCUCAUGCCUGCAAUCCCAGCACUUUGGGAGGCUGAGGCAGGAUCACCUGAAAUC